CGGGAUCCCCCACGGGGUGCAGCCUGGGACUGUGGGACCACUGUGCCCCCUUAACUCUCUCCAGCCUGGCCUGUCUCUCACAAUGCCUUGCCAGUGACCAGCAGCAAACCCCUCCGGGCGCAGUGAUCACUCAGCACAACAGCAUGUGGAGCCACAC